AUGACACUGUUGUGCUGGAACUGUCGGGGUUUGGGCCACCCCAAAACAGUUCGAGAACUAGUGUGCCUAGUGCGCACCCACAGCCCCACUGUUGUGUUCAUCUCAAAGACGCGACAGUGUAAGGAGAGCGUGAAAAGAAUAAGAGAUAGAAUAGGUCUGGAAAAUUGUAUCACCCAUGAUGGGGUAGGCAAAGGUGUCGGUAUCGCCCUAUUUUGGGACGAUAGCAUUGAAAUAAACUUGCUCUCUUAUGGACCGCGGUAUAUCGAUGUUCAUAUUCAGAAUGAGCCUAACGGCCCCUUGUGGAGAGGUACGUUUGUGUAUGGAGAACCAAAGGCACAUGAGAGGUACCAUAUGUGGAAUUUACUGAAAAGAAUCAAGCCUAGAUCAGCUGAACCAUGGAUGAUGAUGGGCGACUUCAAUGGAACGAUGUGGCAAGGGGAACACUUCUCUGCAGCAAAAAGAUCUGAAAGAAACAUGAGUAACUUCAGAGAUUGUAUGGGAUGGUGUGACCUACAUGAUUUGGGUUUUAAAGGGUCGGAAUGGACCUAUGACAAUAAGCAGAAGGGGAUAAAAAACGUAAAAGCAUGA
rnacentral:rRNA from 1 species